rnacentral:rRNA from 1 species
UAUCAAUAAGCGGAGGAAAAGAAACCAACAGGGAUUACCUCAGUAACGGCGAGUGAAGCGGUAACAGCUCAAAUUUGAAAUCUGCCGCAAGGCCGAGUUGUAAUUUGUAGAAGAUGCUUUGGGUAUGGCCCCGGUCUAAGUUCGUUGGAACACGACGUCAUAGAGGGUGAGAAUCCCGUAUGUGACUGGGUGCUUUUGCCUACGUAAAGCUCUUUCGACGAGUCGAGUUGUUUGGGAAUGCAGCUCAAAAUGGGUGGUAUAUUUCAUCUAAAGCUAAAUAUUGGCCAGAGACCGAUAGCGCACAAGUAGAGUGAUCGAAAGAUGAAAAGCACUUUGGAAAGAGAGUUAAACAGUACGUGAAAUUGUUGAAAGGGAAGCGCUUGCAACCAGACUUGCACGCUGUUGAUCAUCCAGGCUUCUGUUUGGUGCACUCAACUGCGUUCAGGCCAGCAUCGGUUUUGGUGGUGGGAUAAAGGCCUUGGGAAUGUAGCUUCUUUCGGGGAGUGUUAUAGCCCUCGGUGCAAUGCCGCCUACCGGGACCGAGGACCGCGCUUCGGCUAGGAUGCUGGCGUAAUGGUUGUAAGCGACCCGUCUUGAAACACGGACCAAGGAGUCUAACAUCUAUGCGAGUGUUUGGGUGUCAAACCCAUACGCGUAAUUAACGUGAACGGAGGUGAGAACCCUUAAGGGUGCAUCAUCGACCGAUCCUGAUGUCUUCGGAUGGAUUUGAGUAAGAGCAUAGCUGUUGGGACCCGAAAGAUGGUGAACUAUGCCUGAAUAGGGUGAAGCCAGAGGAAACUCUGGUGGAGGCUCGCAGCGGUUCUGACGUGCAAAUCGAUCGUCAAAUUUGGGUAUAGGGGCGAAAGACUAAUCGAACCAUCUA